rnacentral:lncRNA from 1 species
CCUACUUCUCUGAGUUGUCUCUCAUCUCCAACAGCCUUUCCCAGAUGUCAAAUCUCUGUGCUCUCCCCCUCCCUUUUCUCUCCCUACCCUCCCACCUUUGUUCCUGUGACUUCACUGUUAGAACUCCACAGCUGGAACUUCCCUCAAACCUUCCAUUCGGUGUCUACUCAUCCUGCGCUCUCUCGGCAGCUUUUACUAAAGAGCCUGACGACUUCAUAAUUCAUGCCCUGAUGUCAUCUAGCCCAGGUCAAAACAAAGGUGUCUUUUUACAUACAUACGCCAUAUUCACCUUCAACACCAGUUUCAACAUGCUAUGUCCAGGGAGACUUAAAAUAACAAAACUAUUACAUCAUCUGUGUUUAGCAAGCAUUUCGCUGACAGCAGAAUUAUCAGCAUCAUGCCCAUGCUACAGAUGGGAACGCUUGUGCUUGUAUUACACAUCUUGUCCUCUGUUCUUUACAUUUGGAACAGCCAGGGGACGCCUUCAUGGCUCAUUUUUGGGCUUACUUCCCAUGGAAUUUCCUAACCUCAUCCCUCUGAGUCUCAUUCCUCAAGCUGGCUUCAUUCAAACUAAAGGAUUCUCAGGCGGACCACUCCUCCCAGGCAAAGGCACGGAUGUGCGUUUUCAGAAGGACCUUCAAAGUCUUAACACAAGGAGAAAAAUGCAUUCUGCAAAUGGAAGGGGAAGCAGGAGCUUAUUCAAAGGCUAUCACUGAGG